rnacentral:lncRNA from 1 species
UUUGUUUUUCGUAUUAUUAUAUGUAUAUAUUUUUUUCUUUAGAAUUUCUUGCUUCAUUUGGAUUUCCAGGCAUUGUUGUCGGAGUUCUACAGAAUCAAACCAACCUCUAUAACCUCUACCACAUCUGUCCUUUCUCACCUACACGCCUUUUGAAUCUCUCCCUUGAUGGGAAAGGACUGGACACUUGCUUUCUGCUCUGUCUUGCUCCACCUGGGGCUGAGCAGUUUGUCACAGACCAUUGUACAGCGACACAGAAGGACAAGGAAGACCCUGUAAGGGAACUGUCAUUGGAGGAGUUUGGAAAGAGAAGAAAAUGCUGGUGACAAUAGUAGUCAGAUACUUGACCUGUUCCAGGAUUGCAAGAGGCAGUCAUCCUGUU